AGAGUUUGAUUCUGGCUCAGGAUGAACGCUGGCGGCGUGCUUAACACAUGCAAGUCGAACGGAGCCAAGAGAUGCUUGCAUCUCUGAAGCUUAGUGGCGGACGGGUGAGUAACGCGUGAGAAACCUGCCCUUUACCGGGGGAUAACACUUAGAAAUAGGUGCUAAUACCGCAUAAGCGCACAGAACCGCAUGGUUCAGUGUGAAAAACUCCGGUGGUAAAGGAUGGUCUCGCGUCUGAUUAGCCAGUUGGCAGGGUAACGGCCUACCAAAGCGACGAUCAGUAGCCGGCCUGAGAGGGUGAACGGCCACAUUGGGACUGAGACACGGCCCAAACUCCUACGGGAGGCAGCAGUGGGGGAUAUUGCACAAUGGGGGAAACCCUGAUGCAGCGACGCCGCGUGAGUGAAGAAGUAUUUCGGUAUGUAAAGCUCUAUCAGCAGGGAAGAAAAUGACGGUACCUGACUAAGAAGCCCCGGCUAACUACGUGCCAGCCGCCGC
rnacentral:rRNA from 1 species